rnacentral:lncRNA from 1 species
AUGGACUGGACCUGGAAGUGGGGUCUCAUUCACUCCUCUGUCCUCUCCACAGGUGCCCAGUCCCAGGUCCAGCAAGUGCAGUCUGGGGCUGAGGUGAGGAAACCUGGGGCCUUAGUGAAGGUCUACCCAAGGCUUCCAGCUACACCUUCACCUUCCACUACAUGCACUGGGUGCCACAGGCCCCUGGAAAAGGGCUUGAGUGGAUGGGACAUGUUGAUCCUGAAGAUGGUGAAACAAUAUAUGCACAGAAGUUCCAGGGCAGAGUCACCAUGACCGCAGGCAUGUCUACAGACACAGCCUAUGUGGAGCUGAGCAGCGUGAGAUCUGAGGACACGGCCAUAUAUUACAGUGCAA